AAUAGAUACCCAGGUAGUCCACGCCGUAAACGAUGGAUACUAGCUGUUGGGCGCAAGUUCAGUGGCUAAGCGAAAGUGAUAAGUAUCCCACCUGGGGAGUACGAACGCAAGUUUGAAACUCAAAGGAAUUGACGGGGGCCCGCACAAGCGGUGGAGCAUGUGGUUUAAUUCGAUGAUACGCGAGGAACCUUACCAAGGCUUAAAUGCAGACUGACCGGUUUGGAAACAGACCUUUCGCAAGACAGUCUACAAGGUGCUGCAUGGUUGUCGUCAGCUCGUGCCGUGAGGUGUCAGGUUAAGUCCUAUAACGAGCGCAACCCCUGUUGCUAGUUGCCAGCGAGUCAUGUCGGGAACUCUAGCAAGACUGCCAGUGCAAACUGUGAGGAAGGUGGGGAUGACGUCAAAUCAUCACGGCCCUUACGCCUUGGGCUACACACGUGCUACAAUGGCCGGUACAGAGAGCAGCCACCCCGGCGAGGGGGGAGCGAAUCUAUAAAGCCGGUCACAGUUCGGA
rnacentral:rRNA from 1 species